UUUAGAGUGGAAGACAAGCUGUAAGUCACUAGAUGGAUGACAAUUUGAACUUUCCUCCACAAACUGUAGCAUGUAGUGUUUGGAGUUUGCUAGACUGUGGAAACCUCAGAAAAAGAAACAUCUGUCAUCCAGAAAGCCCAGAGGAUGCUAAACUCUUGAUCCAGAUGCAUGAAUUUUCCUGCAUCUACUGUUCAGACCAGUUGUAGAAUAUUCAGAAAUACAGAAUCACACAUACUGCAAGAUUUCCAGAAACAAAUCAUCCACUGAGUCUUAAAAGUAAAGAACUCUGUGUUCUUGCUCAGUUGUCUACAUACCUGGGAUCUUACA
rnacentral:lncRNA from 13 species